CAGACUUGAUUAUAAAGUCCUGAGGUUUCCUGGGAUGGUGUUUGAGCAGAAUGCGUUUUUGUUUUGUUUUCAGAAGCGUUUUGUUUUGUUUUCAAUCGCAAGUCAGCCUUUGGGAGGGCAACGGUACAGGUGGAUGCCUAAAUUCAUACCUCAGCUAAUGAAACAGUGGAGAAGAGGCACAGACAAUCUCUUGAGCCUGUUGAAUCCAGAAGGACAGAAGUCUUGGUAACGGUGUCAGGCUCACCUUGUGGGUAGUGGGAUGGGUGCUGUUGCCAUUCUGACCAGAUCACCUCCGCUCACACCUGCAACCAACACGGCUCAUCAGCACACACAUGCCACCCAAGCAGUUCAUCAGGCACAACCCUGAUCCUUCAGGAGGGCAUUACUCUGGCCAUGAGAGUGCACUCAGCCUGCGUGAAGAGCAAGCCGUGGAGUCCCUGGAAGCAGCCAUCACCAAAGAUGGGGCACUGGGAUAAUUUAGGGGCAUGUUCCCUACUGUUCCCCAGGGCUCUCCAGUGGGACUGUGGUCUAGUUGUCCACGAUGGCAACACACGGUGAAUGCUUUGCUUCCCCUCCCUGUCUUACUUCCCUACUCUCUUACCAGUACUUCCUGGAGUCACCUCCCAAACAAAAGGAUUUGCACUGCAAUAUCUGCCUCGGAGUCUGCUUCCAGGAAAACCCAAAGCAAGGCGGUGCUUUUGUGCAAUUUAUUAAGAGGAACCCCUCUGGGUUGAUGGGGCUUCAGGGGUGCAGAGCCUGGCAAGCAACCCUUUCCUGUCAGUCUGACGAAUUCCCACACCACGUACCAACAGAAACAGUUAAUCUGAAAGGAGCAACAAGUCUACAUCUGAGGCAUACCAGAAAUUCCACCAACAGACUCUGAACCCUCCUGAAAAUUCAGGGAGGGAGAAGAGCAUGGAAGCCAACAGUGCAGAGUUUGGGGUGCGGCUGCUCUGAAGUCAAAUCUGCCUCUACCACUUCCUUGCCGUGUGACUUGGGGUAAAGUAUUUCACCUGUCUGGAGCUUCCAUUGCCUCACCUGGAAAAGGGAUGCAAUUGCUUGAGGCACAAGUUAGGAAGCAAAUCAACAGCAUAGAUGCAGUGCCUGGAGAUCAGAAGGUGCCCUUUCAGUGUAAGUCCCUCCUCAUUCUUCCCCCAAAUGGCCUGAGGGGUUCACUACAGGGCCACGCCCAAGUGGGACCCAGAAGCAGAAGCCUCUGAGGCUCCUUGACGCUCAGAACCAGGUUGGGCACGAAAAACAACUCCGUGAUUCCUCUUUGCUGAGUAAACUGAUGCGUGAAUGAACAAAUAAACCUCUGAGAGAUUCCAAUGCCAGGGGAGGCCCCGAGCUUUUAUCUUGUGACUUGUGUGCCAGGAGCAUAAAUAGUCACGGUUGCCCCUGGAUUCGUUAGUGGCUCCUAUUGGGUUUUGAGCCACCCCAGGCUUUCCUCACCUGGAGGUGCUGAUUUCAACGUGAGUCACAGGCCUCCGAACUUAAGCACAGACCCUGCUGAGCUGAUUAUUCCACCCUAGAGAAAUCGCCAAUGUGACCUGUGAGAAUGAAGAUUCUUGGAGCCUGGGGCCGCUGCUCGUGCUGCCUCCAGCCUCCUGAUCGACCAGUCCAGAUAAGGCUGCAUUACCCACCAGGAAACACACGCCUAUAGCCACAAAUUCCAGGUCUUGCAAACACAUUGAGGACCAGGAAAAAAAUAAAAGGCAUUGGCUCGAAAUAAAGAAAAAGAUGCAAAAUUGAAAUGAAGAAAUGCUUAAUUAAAUGUCUAAAAAACACUAGGUCCACUUUGUUCAUUAAGUUUGUUUUCAUUAAAAUCUUAUUACAUCUA
rnacentral:lncRNA from 10 species